rnacentral:rRNA from 1 species
CCUACGGGGGGCAGCAGUAGGGAAUUUUCGUCAAUGGGCGCAAGCCUGAACGAGCAAUGCCGCGUGAACGAGGAAGGUCUUCGGAUCGUAAAGUUCUGUUGAAGGGGAAAAAGAGCGGAGAGAGGAAAUGCUUUCUGAUUGAUAUUACCCUUCGAGGAAGUCACGGCUAACUACGUGCCAGCAGCCGCGGUAAUACGUAGGUGGCGAGCGUUAUCCGGAAUGAUUGGGCGUAAAGGGUGCGUAGGCGGCCUGCUAAGUCUGGAGUGAAAGGUACCGGCUCAACCGGUACAGGCUCUGGAAACUGGCGGGCUAGAGUGGGCGAGAAGUAUGCGGAAUGCGUGGUGUAGCGGUGAAAUGCAUAGAUAUCACGCAGAACUCCGAUUGCGAAGGCAGCAUACCGGCGCCCAACUGACGCUGAAGCACGAAAGCGUGGGUAGCAAACAGGAUUAGAUACCCCUGUAGUC